rnacentral:rRNA from 1 species
UACGGAGGGGGCGAGCGUUAUUCGGAAUUAUUGGGCGUAAAGGGCGCGUAGGCGGCUGAACAAGUCAAAGGUGAAAUCCCUUGGCUCAACUGAGGAACUGCCUUUGAAACUGUUCGGCUUGAGGCCGGGAGGGGGUAGCGGAAUUCCCAGUGUAGCGGUGAAAUGCGUAGAUAUUGGGAGGAACACCAGUGGCGAAGGCGGCUACCUGGACCGGUUCUGACGCUGAGGCGCGAAAGCGUGGGUAGCAAACAGG